UGAUUUCAUCUUCAUGUAUGGUACAGAUGGUUGGUAAUUUCUACUUCCUUUUUCCAGAAUAGCAGAGCAGAAUUUAUGGUCGGGUCCCAGAAUCAAGUUAAACUUCAGAGAAUCUUGUUAAAAAUCUGAGGAAAAAGGUUCCUGAAAACGGGGAAGGUCUUCUGUCAGUUAUUUGCAUCCAUCGUUAACCAAGCUUAGGCUCCUGUGGAAGUGCACCAUGUGCAGCCAGGAUGAUUUGUGCUACUGUGUAAUGAGAGAAAUCCUGCAUCUUUGGCUAUUCAUGGCCCUGAAAUACAGCCUACUGCAGCUGAUAAGGUAUAAUGGGUUUCAGUGAGCUUCAGCACCUCUGAACUGAACACAGCAGAGACCAAACAUGACUGAAGUUUCCAAGUCCAACUGUAAGGAACCCUUCACAGGGAAGGCAGCCCAGGUGUCCAGACCCAGCAAGCACAGCACUUCCAUCAGCUUUCAGGGAGCACGACCAGUUGGAGGUCAUACAUGUUUGUCUGGGUAGGUGUGUAGACAGUAACAGGCAUUUGCUGGAUUGACAGCCGUAGUUGAAAUACCAUAGUGACACGGUCAGCUUCAUUUGUUUUCCGCCUUCUGAACACAUGGCUAUGAAUAAUAUGUAGUUUCAAGCUUUGGGGUUGUGCUUUUAGCUUGGUUUUUUGCUUGUUUGUUUGGAUUCUUUUAACGGAGGAAAACAACAUUUGUACAGUGUAGAUACAUUUUGAAAAACCACAAUAAAAUGAAAGAAAAUCACA
rnacentral:lncRNA from 1 species